rnacentral:rRNA from 1 species
UACAGAGGGUGCGAGCGUUAAUCGGAAUUACUGGGCGUAAAGGGCGUGUAGGUGGUUUGUUAAGAUUGAUGUGAAAGCCCCGGGCUUAACCUGGGAACUGCGUUGAAGACUGACAGACUAGAGUUGGACAGAGGGUGGUGGAAUUUCCGGUGUAGCGGUGAAAUGCGUAGAGAUCGGAAAGAACAUCCGUGGCGAAGGCGGCCACCUGGGUCCAAACUGACACUGAGGCGCGAAAGCGUGGGGAGCAAACAGG